AGGCACUGUCCUGAUAGAACGGAUGGUAUUGGAGGAAAGGAAGUAGGUGUGGGUUCUGAAAAGCAGCUGGGAGGCAAAGAGGGGAGAGUACUGAGGAGAUCAAGGAUAUAUGAAGAAGAGGAAGUAGGCCAAAGCAUCAGAGUGAAGGCUGUGGGAAAGGUGAAGGAGUCAGAGGUCUGUUACUGGCAGCUGAUGAAUUGUCUAGUCAGGGCUUUUGACUGUUGAUAUAAUGGUGACUUUUCUUUUUCUGACCAGUAUAUUGGGACAUGCCUUUCAGAGUAAACAGGUAAAUGAGCCUCACAGACAACUUUAGGUUUAAGUACGAAGGUCUGAGAGCCAGAGGUAUGACAGCACAGGUACCUGGAUGCUGUAAUAAUCCUGGCAUUGCAGACAUGCAAACAUCAAGCCUUGCCCUGCUGGGGUCUUAGAUUCUGCACCCCUGACAUGGGUCCGGAUAAACUGGGUGAGCAAGAUUUCCAAAGGCAAAGAUGACAGGAAGUGAGAGAAUGUGCAAAGGUCUGAAUAGCAGAGCUGGACAUUAAAGAGUGGGCAUAAUAUUCAUAAAAAAAAAAGACGUGAAAAACACUUACGUAGAAACAGAUAAUAAGAGCAAAAGCUUAGUUAUGUAGCUGGGCCUUGAGAUAUGGGCGGAAUUCUACUUGUAAACAUGGAGGGAGUGGACAUUAUUUCUGUCAAUCAUUUCACUGCGCCAAUCACGCUCUGUGAAGGCGGGGGGGGGCCAAAGGCAGGCUAUAAAUAACGAACGUCCGUUCACGUGACCAGACUCAUUUCAAUAUGGAUUAUACUUUGGAGCUAUAGUGGACUGUUUCCCUCAGGAAUGUGGAAAUAUGGCGGGUACUCUCUCGUGUAAUCACAAAAAUGUAAGUUUAAUUUACUUCUUAAUUGUCAUUGAUUGUUGGCUGUUCGUAGUGCGGUUUUUAUAGAAUCAGGUAAAUGGUGUGUAACAAUAUACUUUAAUGGAUGUAUCUGGAGAGUUUUGCUUUUAUGAGAGUCUGGUUUUCUGGUCACUUAGCGGUGUUUGGACACAAUGUUGUGAUUAAACACAGCAUAACAUUUAUUUUACGGAAGAAUUGUGUGUUUGCUAUCAUUCUAUUCUGUUAAAUAUGGGUCCUGGUCCUUUACAUAGUUUUUGAAAAGUUUCUUGUUAUCGGUAAUUAACAAAUAAGGAAAAGAUUGUUUUAUUCGUCUAUGUGCCGCUUGGCUUACGACAGUUACUUGGUUUACGACAGUUAACUGGCCUCGUGCCACCAGCGAGCCUAAUGUUUAAUUUUAUUUUGCCAUUAAAUUGUGUUGUAAUACUAUUUUCUUCCUUCAUAUAUUGGUCCUGGUGUGUCGUAUUUAAUUUCUAUUUUAAAUGAAGAAAUAUUUGUGUUAUUUUCAGUGUAAAAAUGCACACAUUGACCAUUUGACCGAGCACGUAUUGUUUUACGACAGUGAAUGCCCGGAAGUGCCACGCAUGGCCACCAUUAGAAUGCAUUUGAGAUUUUAUUUCCCAAAACAAUUGCGUGUUAAAUAUCACUUUACUCAGUUGAGCCUUUUUCAUAAGUUUCCUUUGAAAGGUUUUCUGUAAACUUAAAUUUACUGAAGAGAAAGUUAACAUGUUUGAUAUAAUUGGGUGUUUGACAUACUGUUUACAUUCUAGUCUUAGUCCUUAAAAUUUUUCUAAAAAAAUAAGUGUUUUAGGGUAGUCUCAAAUGACAGAAGCAGAACGUAAUCAUCCGGCUUGGUCCUGGAUUUUUCAGUUGUAGAUGUUUAAUUCUUAAGUGUCUGUCGUCGGUUGUGACUUAACGCGGUUUCGCAUUUUAUUUUACCAUUAAAUCGUGUUGUGAUAUCAUUUUACUCCUUAAAAUAUGGGUCCUUGUGUGUCCUAUUUCAUAGUUAUAUUGAAAAUGAAGACAUUUUUGUGUUAAUUUCAAUGUAAAGAUGCACACAUUGACCAUCUGAUUGAUGGAGUGUUCAUUGUUUGACAGUUGAGUUCCCGGAAGUCGCUGUCACCUGCCGCCGUUACACGUCGUGUUACACGUCACGUGGGAAUUUAUUUCCCAAAGCAAUUCCGUGUUGAAUUCCAUGUUACUAAAUGAAAUUCUGUCCGUAGCCUUUUCAGUAAGUGUCCUUUGAAGGUUUUUGUGUACAUUUCAAUUUACAGAGGAGAAAGUUAACAUACUUGAGUACCUUUUAUAAUUGGGUUUUUGACAUAUCGUUAUGUUUAAAUUCUGGUCUUGGGCCAUCUUCAAAAAUUUUCUUAAAAUUAAAGGUUUGGAGUUGUCUCGAUUUACAAAAGCAGAAUUUAUCAUCUGGCUGAGUGCUGGAUAUGUUGUGACGGUGAGUGAUCUCAAGAGUCUGUCUUAUGCCACCGUUAAAUAUAUUUUGGCAAUUUAUUUUAGUGAAUGAUUGUGUAUUUGGUAUCAGUUGAUCCCGGUGUGGGUCGUGGUCCUUUUUCAUGAGUUUUGUGGAAAAAAGUUUGUUGCGAUUGUCAUUUAACAAAUAAAAGAUUGUUCUAUUGUCUUUUUAUCUCUAGGUUGAUGCACUAACUGACCUCAAGCUGCCAGUGAGCCUAAGUGUUUUUUUUAAUUUUUUUAUUCUGUUUAUUAUUAUUUUAUUUGUUGAAAUUUGGUCUUUGUGUGCCCUAUUUCAUAAUUUAAUUUAAAAUCGAAGAAAGUUUUCUGGUAUUUUCAAUGUAAAGAUGCAAAAAUGGAUCAUCUUACUAGACAAGUGCUCCUUGUGUUAGGACAAUGAAUGCCCUGAAGUGCUGGUCAUUGACCACCGUGGAAAGUCCUUUAGAAUUUGAUUUGCUUAAAAAAUUGUGUGUUGAAUUCUGUCCCUAGCCGCCUUUAUAUGUUUUCUUUGAAAAGUAUGGGGCAUGUUCAAUUUAAAAGAAGGAAAUCAACUGUAAGCUUGAGUGCUUUUUGUUUCCAGGGAUUUGGUGGUCUUUGGGGUCAUAUUUCCUGGCUUGGGAUGAUCUUUGACAAUGUAAUAACACUUUUAAUAUGAUAGUAUUUCAAUAAAUUUUGGCAUCAAUCCUUCUUAUAAGCAUAGAAAAAUGGUUUGUGGUAGCUUCUAUUCACAAACAAGGAGGACUGGAGUGUUCCAGAGCCUGGCUGGUCAGGACAGAGAAUGGCAAGAAAAUGCUCCCCCUCGGCAAUCUCAGCGUGUGCUGGCCCUGCCUCUGACUGUGCCUUCAUGCCUCAAAUGCACAGAUAUUGCCCUUGCAGCGGUAGCAGGGUGGAAGGAUGGGAUUGGAAAACAAAUACCAGGAGUCCAGGGCUGGUGGCCAUGCUGCUCAGGUGUCUUGAUUCAGGGACGAGAACAUGGAUCUGAAGGCAAUGUUAAUGCCAGGGCCAGCAAGUUUCCUCAGAAGUUAGUGGUCCAUGUCCUUGGAAAUCACACCUCGGUAAUCUUGCUGUGAAGCAAGAGGUAGCCCAGGAACUGGGGUUUUCCUGCCCUGAAACACAGUGUGUUCUGGCCAACUUGGAUGCCUCACACAACGCUGAAUUGGUUCAGUACCUAUCAGAAGUUUCUAGAAUUUGUCAAGCACUUCAGGCUGACGGUGUCUGUUAAUUGGCAGUGUCUGAAAAGGUCUUUGCUCUUUCCUUGCCUGUAUAAAGUCAUUUAUUGCUGGGGGGUGAUUCAUUUGUUGAAGACAAGGCGAAGACUUGGACAGUUCCAGGGAGAGGGGGUGCUUAAAUAUAAAUAUGAAGUAUUCUAAGAUGUUUUUUAAGAGACUUCCAAACUUUAGUCUUGGUAGAUACCUCCAUUUCCCCAGUUUUGUAUUCAUGUGGAUUUUAUUCACAAGGUGGCAUCACAGAACCUGAAGUUCACUCAUCUAAGGUCAAAAAAUCCUCACUUCUUUUUGAUUACAAGACAAAAUGUCUAGCUUCUCUUUAUACAGCAUAGCGACAUGUGAAAGCCUUUUGAUUUAUCCCUGUAAUUGGCUUAAUUAUUUUUAAGGCCAGGAAAAUGGGGGCAUUGUUAUUUCACACCCAGUGAAAAACUGAGGCCUGAGAUACAACUUGUACCCAAAUCCACUUAGUGGGGCUCUGCCAGCGAAGUACCUUCACCAGGUGACCUGAUGGUGACUGAGGGGUGGCCUAUGUGCUAGUCCAAAAAUGCUGCAGAGUUUCCUUAUACCUGUGAUGCCUCCUGAUCCCUUUGUACACACCUGUUGUUCCCUGAUCCCAUCCCGGUCAUUUUGGGUCUAGAAGAGGUCUAGAUUUCCCUUUUCAUGGGGAAGUUGUGGGGAAGACCUUAGUGAAUGGUUUCAUGCAUAAUGCUGCUUGGUAUUAACACAUAAAAAGAAGUUGCAGAGUUUUUCUUCCACAUGCCUUCAGUUGAUUCUGACUCAUGACAGCCCCGUGUGUGGAAGGGUGCCUCUCUAAUGGGUGAUAAUCUCAAGAAUUGGGACAUCCAAGUAAAGAGAAGGUGACCCUCCUCAGACCUUAAUGUGGGCCUGUUUCUUGCAUCUUGUGAAGAGUUCAUUCCUAGGCCAGCCUUGUCAUGUAAAGACCUCUAGUGCGUCCUCAAUGGAUGUGUGCUUGCAUGACAAUGGUAGUGUACUGCAAUUUCUUACCGUGGUAUUUCCGUGGGAGACUUGUGUUUGCAGUAAAUGUGUAUUCAUGUCUCCUUGGAAGAGGCAUCAACCUCAAUGGAUGUGAGCUCGCAUGACAAUGGUAAUGUACUGUAAUUUCUUGCGGUGGUAUUUCCAUGGGAGACUUGUGUUUGCAGUAAAUGCGUAUUCAUGUCUCCUUGGAAGAGGCAUCAACCUCAGUGGAUGUGAGCUCGCAUGACAAUGGUAAUGUACUGCAACUUCUUGCCGUGGUAUUUCCAUGGGAGACUUGUGUUUGCAGUAAAUGUGUAUUCAUGUCUCUUUGGAAGAGGCAUCAACCUCAGUGGAUGUGAGCUCGCAUGACAAUGGUAAUGUACUGCAACUUCUUGCCGUGGUAUUUCCAUGGGAGACUUGUGUUUGCAGUAAAUGUGUAUUCAUGUCUCCUUGGAAGAGGCAUCAACCUCAAUGGAUGUGAGCUCGCAUGACAAUGUUAAUCUACUGCAAUUUCUUGCCGUGGUAUUUCCGUGGGAGACUUGUGUUUGCAGUAAAUGUGUAUUCAUGUCUCCUUGGAAGAGGCAUCAACCUCAAUGGAUGUGAGCUCGCAUGGCAAUGGUAAUGUACUGCAAUUUCUUGCCGUGGUAUUUCCAUGGGAGACUUGUGUUUGCAGUAAAUGUGUAUUCAUGUCUCCUUGGAAGAGGCAUCUGUUGUCUCACAUAACUCUCUCCAACCACUGUGACAUUUGAAAGGUGAGUUAAUGAUGGGCAGAAAAGAAUAGUACCUUGCAUGGGGGCACAAAGCCAAUGGAUAGGAGGGGUGCCCCUCAAAACCAAGUGUAGCUGACCUCAAGUCCCAUGGUAUUGAGCACUAAGUUGUGAGGUGCUCUUUUAAUGCAGCCUUUUAGUGCUCGCCAAAUUAGUUGUUGCCCCUUCAUGCACUCUUCUGCUGACCAUACUUUGCCAGGUGGUGGGAACAAAAAGGUUACCUGGGUCCUGUCAGUGAUCAGUGACUGAGGUUGGUGACUUUUGAGUCCUCACGGGCUUCUAGGGAUGAGACUGGAGAUCCAGGACUGUCCUGGGUCAGGGCUCUGGGCCGGCUGCUCACUUCCUCCUUUUCGUCAUUGUCAAAGAGGACACAGAGCCUCAGGCCUUCGCUGCCACCUUCAGUCUGGUUCCCUGUCUCAUUUGAUUGCAUUUUCUGUAAGGAAAAGAAUUACAGAGGUUAGAGCCUCACUCAGAAAGGGGGAGGGGCUUUGUGAUCAGGAAAGAUGGACUGACAAAUGCUCUCUCACUUUCAGGGGCAACAGAUUGGGGGGAGGGAUAUGAACUGUGUCUUCUUUAAAACUGCUCUGUUUGAAGUAGGAUAAAGCAGACAGUUGGGAGGACAAGGACCUUCUUGUGAAAGGUGUGACGGGCAUCCUGUAUUCAAGGGAGUAUCUCUUGUCCCCUUCCUAAUCUCUGCCAUGUGCCUCAGUGGAGUAGACACUCAUCCUAUCAUAUUUAUAGCGAAUAGUGUUCAUCUGGAGAGAAUUAUGAAUGUGAACUGCUGUUGCUGGUACAUUGUUCCAGAAACCUUCUCCAGCUUUUCCUUAUUCCACAGUCCCUCAGCCCAAAUACCUUGUUUAAGGUCACAAGGAAAGCAGGCUGUGACAUUGUCAGCUUGGCAGCAUCUAGGACACGGGAAUUUGUGUCCUGGGAAUAAAUUGGUGAUGACCUAUUGUCAUCAUUGUGUACUCUUACAGUCAUCUGCUGAACAGAAUGAUUUCCACAUUGCAGAACAAUGGGAUAUUAGGAAUCAUUAGGAAUCCUGAUUCUUUGCUUGGGAACACACUGUGAGUUGUCUCCAAUCAUUUCUCUAAUAGCUUCAUGCACUCUUCUGCUGACCAUACUCUGCCAGGUGGCUACCUGGGUCCUGUCAGUGAUCAGUGACUGAGGUUGGUGACUUUUGAGUCCUCACAGGCUUCUAGGGAUAAGACUGGAGAUCCAGGACUGUCCAGGGUCAGGGCUCUGGGCUGGCUGCUCACUUCCUCCUUUUUGUCAUUGUCAAAGAAGACACAGAGCCUCAGGCCUUCGCUGCCACCUUCAGUCUGGUUCCCCGUCUCAUUGGAUUGCAUUUUCUGUAAGGAAAAGAAUUACAGAGGUUAGAGCCUCACUCAGAAAGGGGGAGGGGCUUUGUGAUCAGGAAAGAUGGACUGACAAAUGCUCUCUCACUUUCAGGGGCAACAGAUGGGGGGAGGGAGGGUGAAAGGUGUGACGGGCACCCUGUAUUCAAGGGAGUAUCUCUUGUCCCCUUCCUAAUCUUUGCCAUGUGUCUCAGUGGAGUAGGCACUCACCCUGUCAUACUUACAGUAAACCGUGGUCUUCAGAGGAGAAUUAAGAAAAUGUACUGUUUCUAUAAUUAUGUUGUUCCAACAUUCUCCUCCAGACAGAGCCUUGCCUCUGGUCUUCUUUGGGCCAGCCGCAUUGUUGAAGGUCACACAGGAGACUUCCAGCCAAUUGACUGCUAAUUUGUUGUGUGAAUUAUCACUGUCUGAGACACUACAGCCAGUGCCUCGUCCUUUGGGAAACAGGACAUGAUGGCAUCAGUGGUAGCUGGGGCCCGUCUACUCUUCUGCUGACCACACUCUGCAAACUGGGGGAAUUAGAAGUUCCCUGGGGCCCGUCUAUAGGGAGCACUCUUCUGCUGACCGUACUCUGCAUGUUGGGGGAACUAGAAGUUACCUGAGCCUGUCUAUAAGCAGUAAUUGAGGCAGAUGAAUUUUGAAUCCUCAGGAGAUAAGCCUGGAGGUUUCGGACUUUCCUAGGUCAGGACUCCAGACUGGAUGCUUAACCUCUCCGAGGACAUAGAGCCUCGGGCUUUAGCUGCCACCAUCAGGUCUGGGUCACUCUCAUUCGAAUGUCUCUUCUUUUAAAGAGAAUUAUACAGGCUGGAGCUUUAGAAAGGGACUGAUGCCCAGUGGGAUUCACUGAUUUUCUCCGUCUAACUCAUCACUAAGACACAGCUGCCUUUCAGAAUACUGGAAAGGCCUGUUGUAGUAUCAGCUAGGAGACUGCGCUUAGGGUACUGCACUACAGGAUGUGGAAUAUGGUUCAAGCUGUGACCAGGCUUCCAUGCCUCUCCUCCCUAGCCCAGAAUAGAUGGCUCUGGGAACCGGGGGUUAAGAGGUGAGCAGAGAUAUUCCCAUGAUUAUAGUGUGCCCCAUGCCCACACCCCAAAAGUUUUCCUUGUGUGUCUAGAAGGAUCUUAGAACUCAAACAGAAGAGUGUUUUAUCAGAAGUGGGCAAUGCCACUGAUGGCACCCAUAAAUUGUUUUGCCUUAAUUCUUCGAUUUGUAUGUAAUAUUUUACCAUGGUGGUGUUUAAGGUUAACCUUUAGUCUGUAGGUUUUGGAAUCUCAAAGCAUCACAGCAGUUCUGUAUAAGCCAUGACCUUCACCUGGAGGACUUCGACUCAAGGAGUGGCCCUAUAAUAUCAAGUUCAUGAGGAAUUUGACCGGAUUUGCCUUUGGGAGCUUGUGACUUUGGGUUUGGUUGUAAAUUUUACUUUGGAUUGUUUUGAUUGCUUACAAUAUGCACAGUUUUGCAUACACAGGGAAUCUUGGGAUUUUACAUGUGGGGAGAUGUUAAAAUGUGUAUGUAUUGUAUUCGUUUGCUGCAGUGUGGAAGGCAGUAGUCACAGGCUGACUGGUCUGUGCGGCAGGCACCUUUUGUCUGCGACCUGCCCUCUGCACUCAGACCCUUCUGUUUGCUGUGCCACUAUGUCCCCUGGCCUAGCUUCUUGGUUAGAUGCUUGUCACCUCAACCUAGUUAAACCAAUCUCAGUGUACAUCCCAUUAGUUUUGGAGUUUGGAACUAGACUCCAAGAUUGAGUAAUUCUCUGCCAAGUCUCACUGAUACAAUUUUUUUUUACAGAGAACCUUACUUAAAAGACUACCUGUUGAGUUAAUUCAUGCUACCCCUUAUUAUACUUUAUGUAAUAUGUUACUUUGGUUUCUUGGAUAUUGUAAAAAGUUGUGUUCUUUCAAUAAAAUGUGUUUGUUGAAGAAGCUCUCCCAGUCGUGGGUGUUUAUUAUUUGCAAUGAAUACCAGCAUGAUCAAGAUGCUUGUGGUUGUGCCAUUUGCAUCAUCGAGUAUACCAGGGGUGAGCUCUGGGCAAUAUAGUUCGGGGUAAUGAGGACAGGAGGUUGGUGGGGCAGAGGGUGGUUAAGAAAAAGAAUGUUACUAGGGGAUCUAAUAGCUCCCUAUGAGAAGUGAUACUUUGGCCACUACUUGAAGGCCUCAAAUACCUACUGGAGGUUGGUGGGGGCUGUGGGGAAUCUCCUAACACUGCUUAAGGUAAGGUAGAAGUAGGGUCAACAGCAUGGUUCAAUGAACUACAAUUACAUUUCCUCUGUACAACUGAGCAUGAUUUAAACAUUUUAUCAAUUAGCAUUUUCAAUUGGCAAGUCGGUACAGUAAUGGCAGUCCCAAAGAAUUUCUAGAUCAGUUCACAGCUGCCUAAGGAAACUUUUGCAGUGUGGCCAUUAGAGUUUCUCACCCAGGGGAUUGGAAAGCGAGCCUGUUGCAGCCUGUCCUGUCUGUAGCCAUGCCAGGCAGGGGACUUGGGUGGGCUUCCACCCUAGGAUUUCAUAGAGAUCUUGGGCUGCAGGUGUCAGCACCUCAAUUCUUGCCCUUUAGUCUACAGGGCCCAAACUGGGACAUCUCCCCUCCUUUCUGAAGGGCUUGUCAGCAUGGAGAGCUCAAAGAACCUCUGCUCCUCUUCUCCAUGGCAGCUGGAACUCUAUUUAUAUCCCCUUGAUAACCCUCUCCUGUGUUAAACCAUGUGAGUGGCCCACUAGGCUGGCAGUUUCUCCCAGCCAACUAUGCCCUCAUACCCCAACCAGCAGUGUCCUCCAUUGUGUGUCUCUCUGCUCAGAGACACUCUGAAAUGCUGUUCUGCGAAGCUGAGAGUUUGUAAAAGACCAUGGAGCCUUUGACAUUUGCGGUAUGACUACUGACCUGACUCCUUCAGCACCAGACCUGACAGGAAUUGGUGGCCACAGAGUACUUUCUCAAGCUUAGGACUCUGUCACAGUUCAGAUGAGGCCUGCCAUGCCCAUCACCACUGUCCCCCAAGCUGAUGGGGAAAGUCAGUAACUUGUAUGGGGUCUUCCCUGGGCCUUGGUCUCUGAGGGAGUGUGUGAGUUAAGCCAUCCAGGGCCUCCCAAAUCCACAGGCACACUGAGUCACAGAUCACUGCUCCUAAGAGGUCUCUGAACUGUCACCCUUCACAGAAUGGAGAGAACGUAGAGCUGGUUCACCCUGAUGCCCUAACUCCCCCAGAGAAACUUUAAGGGGCCAUGAGUGAUGCCUGGCCUGGAUGGAGGGGGCUGAGGCCUGGAGAAAAUGACAUUACAGGAGGGGAAGGUGUGAUAAACUCUCUAGAGGGAAUUAGAAACUACAGAGCAAAAACAGGAGAGCAUGGUGAGAUUGGGGGAACUUUUCACAUCUGUUUUCAACUCAUGAUCAGCAUAUAAACAAACAAACAGCAAAUCACUAACUCAUCAAGCUCCCCGUUUUAAUGACCACAAAGCCCAUUUACUACCUCUCAUGGGCUCUGUGUUAAGCAAUUACUCUGUAUUGUCUCCCUUCAUGCGGAUGGUAACCUGGGGAGGCAGGUUACAUGUAUGUCUCAGAAGCCAAAUAAUUUGCCCAAGGACACACAGCUAGUAAGUUGCAGAGGCAAGACUGGAACCCAGGUGUGUGUGAGUCUGUAGCCUGUGUGCACUUAACCACCACAGCACUGAAGAAUAGCAUGAAGUUUAUUUGGGGACUGGGUCAGAUGAACAGAUAUUCAUUAAAGAGAUUUUGUAAAUAGAGAUUAUUAGGAAAAAUUAACUUUAUUCUUGCCAUCUAAACUAAAACUCUUGUUAUUUUAUUUUCAUCUAGUCCCUCCUUACAGACACACACACACACACACACACACGACAUGCAUGUGUGCAUUUGAAAUACCUGUUACACACUUAGAGUUUUUUUUUUUUUAGUGUCACCAUGAAAGAGGUUCAGAGGUAGGAUAAGCUCUGGGCACAGGGCUCUGACUCCACUUCUUUGCGAUUCUGUUGGAUCUGUCAUCAUCCAUGCGUUGGCUUCAUUAUCAGGCUCUUGGCAAGAUGGCUGCAGCAGCUUCAGGUGUCACAUCCACACCUAACAAUUUCUACAGGAUGAUCCUUACGUGCAUCUACUGCAUGGCAGAGAGGAUACCUUCUCAGAAGCACUCUAGCACAUUUUUCACAUUUCACUGGCCUGACUGAAUCGUGUUCCCAUUGUUUUAUUUUUCAUUCACUGGCAAGGGAAAUGGUAGAAUCAUGAUAAGCUUGAGACUAUCAUGCAGGGAAGGAAACCCUGGUGGUGUAGUGGUUAAGAGCUAUGGCUGCUAAUCAAAAGGUCGGCAGUUUGAAUCCACCAGGUGCUCCUUGGAAACUCUAUGGGGCAGUUCUACUCUGACAGCAACAGGUUUGGUUUUGGUUUUUUUUAUGUGAGGCAGGAGCCCUGGUGGUGUAAUGGUUAAAGCACUUGGCUGCUAACUGAAAGGCCAGCAGUUUGAAUCCCCCAGCUGCUCUGUGGGAGAAAGAUGUGGCAGUCUGCUUCUAUAAGGAUUACAGCCUUGGAAACCCCUAUGGGAGGCAUACAGGCUCACUGUCAGUUGGAAGUGACUCCACGGCAAUGGUUUUUUUUCUUUUAAUUGUGGGGGGCAAUGGGUGUUGAAGUCAACUGCUUAUAACCACUCCUGCCUACUCUUGUAAGAGAAGAUAAAUGCUUACUUUGCAAAAAUGGGGUCAUUCCAAAUCCACCGGAAAGGAUUAAACGAUCACUUUCAUGGUGUGAAUCACUAACAUGGAAAUAAUUGCUGCCUAUUCUAUUCCAUUUUCUGGUCCCUAAA